CAAAUCCAGGUAGGACUACCCGCUGAACUUAAGCAUAUCAAUAA
rnacentral:rRNA from 1 species